AGAGAGAGACAGAGAGAGAGAGAAACAGAGAGAGAAAGAGAGAGAGAGAGACAGAGACAGAGAGAGAGAGAAGCAGAGAGAGAGAAGAAGAGAGAGAGAGAAGCAGAGAGAGAGAAGAAGAGAGAGAGAGAAGCAGAAAGAGAGAAGAAGAAGAGAGAAGAAGAGAGAGAGAAGCAGAGCGAGAUCAGCAGAGAGAGAGAGAAGAAGAGAGAGAGAGAAGAAGAGAGAGAGAAGAGAGAGAGAGAAGCAGAGAGAGAGAAGAAGAGAGAGAGAGAAGCAGAGAGAGAAGCAGAGAGAGAGAAGAGAGAGAGAAGCAGAGAGAGAAGCAGAGAGAGAGAAGAAGAGAGAGAGAAGCAGAGAGAGAUGUUGUUGAUAGUAAAGGUGACUAAGGAGCGUGUGGUUUUGGUGACAGAAUGAUGUCACUGAUUAGUCCCACCUGCAGAGAUGCUGGAGGGUGUGUGUGUGUGUGUGUGUGUGUGUGUGUGUGUGUGUGUGUGUGUGUGUGUGUGGAAACUGAGCUGCACUUCCUAACCUCCUGCCCAAUGUAUGACCAUAUUAGAGAGACAUAUUUCCCUCAGAUUACACAGAUCCACAAAUAAUUUGAAAAUAAACCCAAUUUUGAAAAACUCCCAUAUCUACUGGGUGAAAUUCCACAGUGUGCCAUCACAGCAGCAAGAUUUGUGACCUGUUGCCAGGAGAAAAGGGCAACCAAUGAAGAACAAACACCAUUGUAAAUACAACCCAUAUUUAUGCUUAUUUAUUUUAUAUUGUGUCCUUUAACCAUUUGUACAUUGUUGAAACACUGUAUAUAUAUAUAAUAUGACAUUUGUAAUGUCUUUACUGUUUUGAAACUUCUGUAUGUGUAAUGUUUACUGUUCAUUUUUGUUGUUUUUCACUUUAUAUAUUCACUUUGUAUGUUGUCUACCUCACUUGCUUUGGCAAUGUUAACACAUGUUUCCCAUGCCAAUAAAGCCCUUGAAUUGAAUUGAAUUGAAUUGAAAGGCAGAGAGAGACAGACAGAGAGAGAGAGACAGAGAGACAGACCGAGAAAGGCAGAGAGAGAGAGACAGAGAGACAGACCGAGAAAGGCAGAGAGAAAGACAGAGAGACAGACAGAGAAAGGCAGAGAGACAGACAUGAUUCCUGUACCCAAUGAUUAAACAUGAAAUGGUCAGAGCACUAAAGUGCUUCAUCAGUAGAGUUGUCUUUCAAUGCUGUCUCCAUAGGAGAACCCUUUUUGGUUCCAGGUAGAACCAUUUUUGGUUCCAGGUAGAACCCUUUUUGGUUCCAGGUAGAACCCUUUUUGGUUCCAGGUAGAACCCUUUUUGGUUCCAGGUAGAACCCUUUUUGGUUCCAAGUAGAACCCAUUUUGGUUCCAAGUAGAACUGUUUUGGGUUCCAUGUAGAACCCUUUUUGGUUCCAAGUAGAACCCUUUUGGGUUCCACGUAGAACCCUUUUGGGUUCCACGAAGAACCUUCUUCCAUGUAGAACCCUCUUUCUUCAAAAGGCUCUCCUAUGGGGACAGCCGAAGAACUCUUUUUAGGUUCUAGGUUCUAGAUCUCCCACAAUCCCUCAGUGGACUCGGUUAUCCUAUAGUAUAAAGCACUAAAACCCGGCCAUUGAUUGACGUCGUGGUGCAUCUCGCCGCCAUCGCUUCUGUCUCGGGUGACGGUAAUCUUUUGGUUGUCGUGACAUUCUGCUCCAUCUGUGUGGGAGGGAUCCAGGGGAUUGAGCCUGCUGACGAACAGGAG
ensembl:lncRNA